UUAUACUUUACACUUAAAUAAUUUUACAAUCAUUUCUUCUUCCUCUUUUUCUUAUUGUUAUUAUUAUAAUUUAUUCAGAUCUUCUGUAUUGUGUGUGUGUGAAGUUUUCCACAGUGAAAAGUGCUGAAUUACAAUAAUGGCAGAAUCAAAGGAGUCCUUCACGAUGAACGAUCCAAAACCAGGGUUCAUAUGUGUUAAAAAAUACAAUGAGGAAUUUACACAAGAUAAAAUAAAUGGAGAUGUCUUCAUUGUGGAAGAAUCUGAAAAAAACCCACAAAGCUGGAGUCUACUUAGAUGGACAGAUCAUGCAGCUGAAAAUGGGAGGAUUGUUCAGCAGUACAGAAGUAAUCAGGGUAAAUGUGGAAAGCUUUACUGGAGGGAGGAGAUUUGCAGUUUAUAGGAAGAGGGAGGGAAUUCCACAGUCAUUCCAAGAAAAUGUUGCUGAAGCACUGAGCAGAAUUACAGAAAACAAAUUUUCACAAUACAACAGUGUUGAGUUUGUCAUGGAGCUUCUCGAUGUUCAUUUGGAGCCAACUGUAUCAGACUGUAUGAAGAUUGCCAAUUGGUCUAAACCAAAGGGCUUCAAAGUUGUCAAAAAAUUCUCUGAUGAAUACAGUGGAAAUGCUAAAGUAGGAGACCUGUUUCUUGUGCAAUGUGGAAUAUUUGGAUAUGGAUACUACCAUGCUGGAGUGUGCUGCAGUGAAAAGGGACCAGAGAUUAUUCAAUUAAUGGGUACAAUUCUAAAUAUCUUUAGAAUGUUUCAGUAACUGUAGAGCUGUACUUUUUGUUUUAGCACAAAUGAUAUUAAAUAAUAUAAAAAAAUGUAUAUUGUGUGAUUCAGAGUUGAGUGUGCAGUGAGGAUUUCAUGCAGGAAUUACAGGCCGUGUUGUAUUUUUUUGUAACUAAACUCACAGAU